rnacentral:lncRNA from 1 species
AUGAGCGGCCGAGACGCAGUGCAAACCCAUCUAUCGCGGCGAGCGUCUCCCCGGGGCCCCCCGCGACCCACCGGGGCCGAGGACGGGCGUCCUGCGGCGAGCCGCUCCGCCCGGCACCUUGGUCUGGGAAACGCAACCCGGGAGGAAAAAGCACAGGAACGGGGAUGUUUCGCUACCUUAGAAGAGCUCGGAGCAGGGCGACGCUCCGGUGGGCGCCGCAGAGCAGGGAGGGAAGACCAGCCGGUCACCAGGGACCGGGCUCGGCUCGAACAGCAGCGAGGGGAGUUCGGGAAGGCGCUGGGAAAGCGUCCCCGGAGCGAGGGCGGCCCAGCGCCUGGCCCCGAGGAGGGAUUCGGGCGGCGAGGGGCGAGCGCGUUUCUCCUCCGCAGGCCGCUCGCUUCGGCUGGCGUCUGCACAAGCUGCACCGCUACACCAAGGCGGAACAAAUUCCUCGGGGGGAAAAAAAAAGAAAAAAAUCACUUAAAAGCACCUUCCACGCUGCUUGCGUAUCUCGGCACGUGUUUCCAUGAGCUUUUCAACCCCUUUCUCAGCCCUGACGGUAUCAAACCGCUUGCGUUUGCUUUCCCAGCAGCGAAGGCGAGCGCCACGUGCUGUUCUCGCCCCCCCAAGGCUUAUUUACCGCGUUCGCCCUACGGAGACAGAGUAGGCGCCUCCCGCCCUCGCCGUGCGGCACCGAACGCGCAGCGAAGCGGGGGGCUGCCCCGCUCCCGCUUCUGGCGCAAAGACCCGGCUGGGGCUCCGCGCCGCCGAAUUAUCCCCCGGGUAUGUUACACCCCCCCCCCCCCCUCGCAUCCCCACGGGAGCAGGGGCGCAGGUCCGAGCAAACCUCCUCGGUGCCAGGCCUCUCCCGGGGGAGCCAUGAGCACGGCGCCGGCAGGCUCAGGAAAACCGCGGCGUCUCCAGCGCCCCGCUGCAGCGAGCGCCGCUCCGUACGCGCCAGCGUGUCCCGGCAUCCAGGCUCCAGGACGCCUGGGUCCUCAGAGCAGAUCCGGCCGGGCCCCGCCGGCACGGCUCUCCCGGCACCUGGCCCCUAGCUGGAUGUUUGCCCCGCUCCCGGCGGAGACCUCCCUGCUCUUCCUCGCCACGGGCACCAGAGUGGCCUCCGAGCGUGGCUUUUCCGGGCCGAGCACCCGGCUCCGUGCAAACGCCCGGCCUCGGCGCACUUCCCAGGUCGGCGGCUCCACUCGUCCCCGGCGCCCGAGUCAUUCCUUCCUCCCCGCUUUCGGCUCCCUCUUCUCCUCGCUCCCAAACAAAGCGACCGGCUGCUCCCAACCUGCUUCCGAGGAGCAGCCCGUCGCUCGUCCUGCUAAUUUCCUUUCAAACUCGUUUACCGCCGACGGGGCGGAAUCUGCCGUAGCCCUCCGCUCCGGCAUCGCGGCCGCCGCUCCUGCCCUUCCCAAGGUCGCGCGGCGCGAAGGAAUAAAACGUCCCAGCUCCAGCAGCUGA